rnacentral:SRP_RNA from 1 species
GGAUCACUUGAGCUCAGGAGUUCUGGACUGUAGUGCACUAUGUCAAUCAGGUGUCCACACUAAGUUCAGUAUCAAUAUGGUGACCCUUCUGAGAAUCGGGGUGCUGCAAGAUUGUAUGAGGAAGGGUGAACUGGCCCAGGUCAGAAAUGGGAGUAAGGUCAAAACUCCCGUGCUGACCAGUAGUGGAGGCAUGCCUGUGAAUAGCCAUUACACUCCAGCCUGGGCAACAUUGUGAGA